UACGUAGGGGGCUAGCGUUGCCCGGAAUCACUGGGCGUAAAGGGUGCGUAGGCGGGUCUUUAAGUCAGGGGUGAAAUCCUGGAGCUCAACUCCAGAACUGCCUUUGAUACUGAGGAUCUUGAGUCCGGGAGAGGUGAGUGGAACUGCGAGUGUAGAGGUGAAAUUCGUAGAUAUUCGCAAGAACACCAGUGGCGAAGGCGGCUCACUGGCCCGGUACUGACGCUGAGGCGCGAAAGCGUGGGGAGCAAACAGG
rnacentral:rRNA from 1 species